AGAGAGGGUUCUGGACUGUCAUCUGUCUAUCUGAUGAGCUUGGGCCCAUUUUCUCAUCUGCGUCCCUCAGAGAGUAUGUGCGGAUUCCGUGAAAGAUGGUACAUGAUAAGCACUUGAUAAAUCUGUCAUUCUCUUUGAGGGAUUACUUUAUCUCUGGUAUUCUCUUCCACUUAGAACACAGGUGAAAUAUUCAUGCAUUUUGUUUACUCAAAAGUCAAAAAAGUUUUUAUUCUCUGAUAUAUAAAACCAAGAAAACUUUAAUACAUAAUAUGCAUAGUUUUGUUUUUUUAAAAGGAGAAAGUGGCAGAAGUACAGACCUGUGUAGAAAAAUACACCCAAGCAGCUGUUCUAAGCAGUAAUUCCUAAAAUUAUGAAUAGCACACAAAUCUCAGUGAAAGCCUCAUUUCUUAAAAAAAAACUCACAUUUGCUUAACAACUUAAAAUGUGAUAAGAAAUAUAACCUUCCUUCUUGAUAGCCGACCCAGUUAUAUAACAGACAUUCAAGAAUCAGCAAUAACUUAGUAAAAGAACAUUUCCUUUGUGAGGGUAACAUUAUUAGUUUUAGUUCCACAAAAACUGCUUCUGACUGCUGGGGCACUGAACGACAUGCCCUUCAUCAGAGAGCAAGUCCGGGGGGUGCGGAUCCUCACCGGAGAGGUCAUGGGGAAGCAUCUUUGGUCUUCUCUUGCUUAGGAACAAAGGGCCAGCAAUCCAUUGCAUACAAAUAACAUCAAACACAGGUGCAGGAAUUCACAACUCCUCAGCAAAAGCUAUUUCUUAAAAAUAGAACUUGCUUUUCACUUAAUAUUCAGAAAAAAUGAAAAUGCUGAGAUGCAGUUUUCCCUCUUAGCAGUUCCAUGUUCACGAAGUCAGGACAGUUCUGCCACUGACCAGCAGGUGGUGCUGGACCACAAGGAGAAGCAGCGGGAGGUACGCAGCUCCGACAACCUAGAAAAAUAUUUCUUUACCUGUAUCUGUAUGAAAGAUUUGGUCAGAGUUCUCAAAGUAUAAAUGUAACAUUUUAUUCAAGCAAAACACAUUAUAUAAAAUUUAAUUGUAUCAAAUAGGAAUUUUUAAAAUUACUAAAUAUAUAAACGUUGCUGGAAGAUCAACAUAAAGUGAGGAUGAAUUUAGUAUUUGUUAAAAAUCACUAAGUUCCACGUGACUUCUUAUAGUUAAAAGUGAGAACUGCCAGUGACCAUUCUAGAAAUGAAAAUUAGCAUGUAUUGUGACUUACUAAAAGAAACGUCUGUUUCAGAAAACAAAGAUGAGAACUCACGUGCAAAUGACUGCAUUCUCAAAGACAUUGCUGGACAUGUGCGAUGCUUAUCCUUCAUUUCUGCUGAAAACAUUUCCGAAAUCGCCCUCAGAGUCAGUCAACCCACAGGAAAAGGGUCAUCUUAGAGGCAAUAGAGGCUUACAUCCCAAAUGGGACUGCUGAGCCCAGUCCAGCAGAGCUGCUGCUUCCUACCCUGGAUUUCCCCUUGAGGCUGAAUGGGCCACCUAUGUGGGUCACAAAAAUAGCCCCUGGUCUGGUGCUGUGGCUCACGUCUAUCAGCACAGUCGGCCUCGCCUGCA
rnacentral:lncRNA from 10 species